rnacentral:misc_RNA from 1 species
UCUUGGCGUUACUUUUGCUACGUGCGGGCCUUUCCAACCACAUGGCAUAAGCUAGAUGAGUCAAAGGUAAUUGGGGUUGCUGAAGAGGUUGCUUUUGGGUUUCAUGGUUAUGAUUUGGAGUUGGGUCUCGAAGCGGAUGAGUAUGAGAAUUGGCAAAGAAAUAAAAUGAAAAUUAAGAUUCUGUCAUUAGAGAGAGAUGUUACAUAACAGUCUGCACACUUAGUGAAACAGAGGA